UAGGGAAUCUUCCGCAAUGGACGCAAGUCUGACGGAGCAACGCCGCGUGAGUGAAGAAGGAUUUCGGUUCGUAAAACUCUGUUGUUAGAGAAGAACAGCGCAUAGAGUAACUGUUAUGCGUGUGACGGUAUCUAACCAGAAAGCCACGGCUAACUACGUGCCAGCAGCCGCGGUAAUACGUAGGUGGCAAGCGUUGUCCGGAUUUAUUGGGCGUAAAGCGAGCGCAGGCGGUCAAUUAAGUCUGAUGUGAAAGCCCCCGGCUCAACCGGGGGGGGUCAUUGGAAACUGGUUGACUUGAGUGCAGAAGAGGAGAGUGGAAUUCCAUGUGUAGCGGUGAAAUGCGUAGAUAUAUGGAGAAACGCCAGUGGCGAAGGCGACUCUCUGGUCUGUAACUGACGCUGAGGCUCGAAAGCGUGGGUAGCAAACAGG
rnacentral:rRNA from 1 species